AGAGUUUGAUCCUGGCUCAGGAUGAACGCUAGCGACAGGCCUAACACAUGCAAGUCGAGGGGCAACAUGGUAUCAGCUUGCUGAUACUGAUGGCGACCGGCGCACGGGUGAGUAACGCGUAUGUAAUCUACCUGUAACAGAGGGAUAACCCGGAGAAAUCCGGACUAAUACCUCAUAGCACAUAUUAUUCGCAUGAAUUUUAUGUUAAAGAGACUCGGUUACAGAUGAACAUGCGUUCCAUUAGCUAGUUGGCGGGGUUACGGCCCACCAAGGCAACGAUGGAUAGGGGUUCUGAGAGGAAGGUCCCCCACACUGGUACUGAGACACGGACCAGACUCCUACGGGAGGCAGCAGUGAGGAAUAUUGGUCAAUGGGCGAAAGCCUGAACCAGCCAAGUCGCGUGGAGGAAGACGGCCCUACGGGUUGUAAACUCCUUUUACCUGGGAAUAACGGGCGCUACGUGUAGCGCUGUGCAAGUACCGGGAGAAUAAGCAUCGGCUAAUUCCGUGCCAGCAGCCGCGGUAAUACGGAAGAUGCGAGCGUUAUCCGGAUUUAUUGGGUUUAAAGGGUGCGUAGGCGGAAGAAUAAGUCAGCGGUGAAAUGCUUCAGCUCAACUGGAGAAUUGCCGAUGAAACUGUUUUUCUAGAGUAUAAAAGAGGUAUGCGGAAUGCGUGGUGUAGCGGUGAAAUGCAUAGAUAUCACGCAGAACCCCGAUUGCGAAGGCAGCAUACUGGGCUAUAACUGACGCUGAAGCACGAAAGCGUGGGUAUCGAACAGGAUUAGAUACCCUGGUAGUCCACGCCGUAAACGAUGAAUACUAACUGUUUGCGAUAUAAUGUAAGCGGUACAGCGAAAGCGUUAAGUAUUCCACCUGGGGAGUACGCCGGCAACGGUGAAACUCAAAGGAAUUGACGGGGGCCCGCACAAGCG
rnacentral:rRNA from 1 species